rnacentral:rRNA from 1 species
GUAUAGAGGGUGAAUUCUGCCCAAUGGUUGUAUAGUGAAACUGAGGACUAACGUCUAAAGCGAAACCCAACUGAAUGGCCGCGGUAACUCUGACCGUGAUAAUGUAGCACAAUAAAUAGCCAAUUAAUUGUUGGCGGGUAUGAAUGGAACCACGAGGGUCUUACUGUCUCAAGAGGAAAGCCGAUGAAAUUAUAAUUGUAGUGAAGAUACUACAUAAACAUUGUAAGACGAAAAGACCCUAUCGAGCUUUACUGGAUACCGAUAGAGUUAAUUUAGAAUGAUCGAUACUAAGUAUCCUAAUUCUAAGUUAAUAAUUUUUGUUGGUAGGACAGUUUAGUUGGGGCGACUACCUUUGAAUAAGAAACGAAGGCGAGCUUAUGGUAUUAAUAAAAUCUCAUUAGCCUGACAGUGAGGGGUACACCCCUAGCUGGCACAAGGACCCCACGGGGGCUCCUAUGUGGGCGAUAGUGACCCGAUAUUAUUAUCCAAAAUAAAUAUCGAAAGCGGAUAAAAGCUACCGUAGGGAUAACAGCGUAAUAUUGUCGGAGAGUUCUUAUCGAGGACAGUGUUUGCGACCUCGAUGUUGAAUUGCGGUGCCCUGGUGCUGUAGAAGGUACCUUAGGUUGGUC